GGCGUAGGGCGCGAGCGUUGUCCGGAUUUAUUGGGCGUAAAGAGCUCGUAGGCGGUGUGUCGCGUCGGCCGUGAAACUUGGGACUUGACUACUGAGCGUGCGGUCGAUACGGGCAUCACUUGAGUUCGGCAGGGGAGACUGGAAUUCCUGGUGUAGCGGUGAAAUGCGCAGAUAUCAGGAGGAACACCGGUGGCGAAGGCGGGUCUCUGGGCCGAUACUGACGCUGAGGAGCGAAAGCAUGGGGAGCGAACAGG
rnacentral:rRNA from 1 species